AAAGAUUAAAUGAUUUAAUAUUCUUAAAAUAAUUAAGAGAAUCCAUUGGAACAUAUCUGUUAGAUAGCCCCAUUUGGGUUUGGAGGUCCUACACAAAUCUUAUUCACAAGAAUCUAAUGGAAGGUUCUUCAGCCCUGAAUCUCUGACAUGAAUGAAGAAAGUGUGUUCCACCUCCUUUCUGCACGCCAGCAAAGAUAUAGAAACCAGUCAUAUAAAGCGGUUGUGACAGACCAGGCAUUGCCUCUGUACCAGAGACAUCAGGAGACAAAAUACUGUUUAAUGCCCAUUCCCCACAUACGGUAUCAAACUCCAGCUUCACUCCAAUUCACCGAGAAAUUGACAAGUUCAGCCCAGAAACUAUUACUGCACCGCUAG
rnacentral:lncRNA from 1 species